rnacentral:rRNA from 1 species
AGUGGGGAAUCUUAGACAAUGGGGGCAACCCUGAUCUAGCCAUGCCGCGUGAGUGAUGAAGGCCCUAGGGUCGUAAAGCUCUUUCGCCUGUGAAGAUAAUGACGGUAGCAGGUAAAGAAACCCCGGCUAACUCCGUGCCAGCAGCCGCGGUAAUACGGAGGGGGUUAGCGUUGUUCGGAAUUACUGGGCGUAAAGCGCACGUAGGCGGACUAUUAAGUCAGGGGUGAAAUCCCGGGGCUCAACCCCGGAACUGCCCUUGAUACUGGUAGUCUUGAGUUCGAGAGAGGUGAGUGGAAUUACGAGUGUAGAGGUGAAAUUCGUAGAUAUUCGGAGGAACACCAGUGGCGAAGGCGGCUCACUGGCUCGAUACUGACGCUGAGGUGCGAAAGUGUGGGGAGCAAA